CAGGGGGUUUUUCGAAAAAAACCCAGCCGCAUUUAUUCCCCUUCCGUGACCUUCUCUCUCUCUCAUCAAAUCUCUAAGCUUUUUCUCCUUUUUCUCCCAAAUCUCUCUCAGAUCUGAGCACGAGAUCUCCGAUCUCGUCUUCCCCCUCACCCUCCCCAGAUCCCUCUCCUCUCCUUCAGCUCUUUUCACUCCGACGCCUCCCCUCCUCCCUCUCGUGCCGACGACAACGACGCCGACGCGACGCCCCGACGCCUCCCCUGCAGCGCUCCCUCGACGCCGACGUCGACGCCUCCUCUCGAAGACCCUCCUCUCGUAGACCCUCCUCCUCCCUCUCUCGACGCCGACGGCGACGCCCCGUCGAAGCCGCUUCAUCCUCUCUCUCUCUCGACGCCGACGCAGGAAGAUGAUGAAUAGAUGAUGAAUAGAACUGGGACUGGCAAAGAGAACAUCCAAGUAGCUUAAACUGUGUAUGGUUCUUUCCUGUUAUAUCUUCGUGGAGGACAUUUAGCUGUGUGUGCUUAUAUCUUACUAUUUGGAGCCUGAAAGUGGAGGACAAUGAGUUGUAACUUUUUCUGUUUUGAAACAAGAAAAUGUAUCAAAUUUGUGAGAGUUUAUUUGAAAUUUGGAAGGGCUUGUUUGUGGCUGUUGUUUAUUUGAGUUUAUUUGAGAAUAAUCAAAUGCUGGCCAUGUCUAACGAGUUUGCCUGCUGUUGUUGCUGCUUGUAAUUUGUGAUAUUCAUUGUUCUUGUAAUGUUGUUGCUGCUGGACAUGUACUUGAGAAGUCAACAAAGCUCAUUUGUAA